GGCUUAGCUCAGUGCUGCAACUUCCAGCAGCAGAGGAGGGGUUGAGUGGCAGACCCAGGUAAUUUGUUUGAAAUCAGUUUGACUACUUAAUCAUGGGAGGGCAUAAGGGCUCUCAUGUCACCAUAACCACUACAUGAAAAUACAGUGGUUAUGGUACUUGGAGUGUCCUUUUAGUGUGUAUAUUAUCCUAGAAAAUUGUACUCUUUUGGAAUCUGCAUUGUUAUUUAUGCUCAACGUUUCUUAGAAACAAAUGUAGAACACUUAACAUUUCUUUGGACGUCACAGGCUCAAUAAAUAGCGUUACAUAUAGUUUAUAUCACGAAUACCAUAGAGUACCAUAGAGUAGAUCAGACAAUGUUUCUUCUAGUUGCAAAUAAUGUAACAAAACAAGUUGAUCUACUGUGUAGACCAUGCAAAAAAUUUUUUAAAUAGCCAUUAUUCCCAUUUAUCAUUUUAUGUAAGAAACUUUUUUUAACCACAAUAAGCAUCAAAACAACAAAUUAAUGUGGAGUGGUUUAAAAGUGCAAAGCAGGCAUCAUCACCCUUGGAAACUCUGACACAGAAAAGGUUAGCUUAACAAUGACCUAGCUUGUUUGAUUAAAAAUCUAGCAAGGUUUUACUGGAUUUCAGUAAUGAGGGCCAAUCAAUACAUUGGGCAGAAAGACCUUGAGCUUGGCUAAUUCUUCCACUAGCAGAAAAUUAUUUCUUUAAAUUAAUUUCUUCUAUUGAGCAGUUGAACAGUGAAGAUGAAAAACACAGCUUAAAGGGACACUCCAGGCACCCAGACCACUUCUGCCAAUUGGAG